ACUUGGGCUCGCGUCCUCGGCCGCGCCGCGCGGCACCCGGGCCCAGCAGCCGGGAGGCGGCAGCUCUCCUCUACGCCCGUCCCCUCAGGGCGGCUGUGGAUGUUGCCAGUAUUGUCGAUGCUUCAGAGCGACGUUUGCCCUGCGACACAGGCGGGCCGGCUCUCCUCUGUCUUUAUUUUCCUGGAGGCCGACAGGAGCGGGGCCCGAGUUCGGUGGUGGUCGUGAGCGUGGGGGGCACUCAGGCCCGGACGGGCUCUCAGGUCGCCGACGGCGGCGGCUGGAGGCCGCGCUGGCUGUCCCAGGUCGUCGUUAGCUUUAGGGAGCCGAUCUCCGGGCGGCCCCACAGAGGACGCCCGCGAUUCGAUGGCGAUGAUGCCCGUUUUAAAUGGUGUCCCUGCAGCCGGGUGGAUGGAUGGAUCGUACACCUUGCCUUUUGAGAGCCGGGACCUUACGCCCGACUGCGUGUUAUUUCUGCGAAUAAGAACGCAACCUUUGGAGGUGAAGACGACUGUCGGCUGGAUUGAAUUGGAAUCGUGUUUGUGAUGAUGCGUUUAUUUCUGGAAAUACGCGGUCUCCGCUGCUUUUGCUUUUUGUCGGCAGAGGUUUGGGUUCUUCUCUAACGGUCAGGAUAAAGGCCUGUAGGCGACGCUGCGCGAGCGAGAAGCUCGCCCGCGGCUGCCCGGGCGCCCCCCUCUAGGUGUGGGUGGAGCCGAGCGCGCGGGGAGAACCGCCGGCCCCGACUCAGCCACCGGUGACUGCGGGCGACCCGCGGGCCUGCGGCCAGCUGAUUUCAAACAUCGUUUUCCUCUUUAGGUUCGGAAAACUGAGGCGCUGGACAAGGCUGGAAUACAAUAUGUGAUUAUACGUACAGUACUAUGGUUGUUGUAGUUUUUAAAUUGUAAAACAAGAAGUAACCAUUGUUCCACCGUUCUCUAUUAAGUUUGUGUAAAUUAAAAAGGGGCUAUUUUCGGUAAAAAGUGCAGUAGGUGUGGUGGUGUCGACCUGUCAUCCCAGCUACUUGAGAGGCUGAAGGGGGAGGAUCGCUUGAGCCCAGGAGGUAGAGGCUGCAGUGAGUCAUGAUGGCACCACUGCACUCCAGCCUGGGUGACAGAGUGAGAGCCUGUCUCAACAACCAGAAAAAAAGUAUUUAGUUUUACAGUAUUACAAAGUAGUGUCACAUUAGUUUAAUGAGGUUUAUUUAUACAAAGGUGUAAAAUUAUGGGCCAAGUACUAGCCUUCAAGUAAUUUCGAAGUCAGCGAGAAUACUGGUAUAUAACGGAUCAAACUUUGUUCAAGAACCAAAGGCUAUUGUUCAACGAAUGGUGCUGAGACAACUGCAAAAGACUAGGACCCUUACCUCACAUGCAAAAGACUGGGACCCUUACCUCACACCAUUUUGCAAAAAUUAGCUCAAAAUGGAUCAAUGACCUAAAUGUAAGAGAAAACCUAUAAAAUUCUCAGAAAAAAACAGAAGGAUAAAUUUGUAUAACCUUGGAUUUGACAGGAUUCUUAGCUAUGACAACAAAAACACAAGCCUCCAGAAGCAAGCAAACAAAAACACCAUAAACUGGACUUCAUCAAAAUUGAAAACUUUAGUGGUUCAAAAGACACCAUCAAGAAAGUGAAAAAAUCCACAGAAUAGGAAAGAUAUUUGCAAAUCAUGUAUCUGAUAAGGGAUCUAUGUCUAUAAUAUGUAACGAACUCUUAAUAAAAAAUAACCCCACUUAAAAUGGGCAAUGAAUCUAAAUAGACAUUUCUCCAAAGAAGAAAUGCAAAUGGCCAAUAAGUACAUGAAAAGAUGCUUGACAUCACCAGAGAAAAGCAAAUAAAGAAACUGCAAGGUUUUCAUUCUUCUUCACUUACAAGGCUUCAUUCUCACUAUGAUAGCCAGAAUAAAAAAGUCAGAUAACAACAAUUAUUGGCAAAGAUAUAGAGGAAAACUGCAAACCUUAUACAUUCUGAUAGGAGUGUAAAAUGGUGCAGCCACUUUGGAAAACAGUCUGGCAGUUCCUCAAGUGAUUAAACAUCUAGUUACUAUAUGACCCAGCAAUUCUACUACUAGGUAUAUACCCAAGAGAAAUGAAACCAUAUGUCCACACAGAAACUUGUACACAUUUGUUUACAGAAGCAUUAUUCAGAAUCACCAAAAGGUGGAAACAACCCAAAUGUCCAUCAACUGACACAUGCAAAAGUAAAAUAUGGUAUCCAUAUAAUGGUAUAUUAUGGUAUAUAAAAGAAUGAAGUACUGAUACAUGCUGCAACAUGAAUGGAUCCUGAAAUCAUUAUGUUAAGUGAAGGAAGCUAGUCACAAAAGACCAUAUGUUAUAUGAUUGCAUUCAAAUGAAUGGAAUAUGGAAAUCUAUGCAGACAGAAAGUAGAUUACUGGCUGUUUAAAGCUGAGGGUGGGAGCAUGGGUGGGCAGGGGAAUAGCUAAAGGGUACAGAGUUUCUUUCCGAGGUAAUGAAAAUGCUCUAAAAUUGACUGUAGUGAUGAUUGCACAUAUCUGUGAAUAUACUAAAAACCACUGAAUUGUACACUUUAAAUGGGUGAAUUGUAUGGUAUGUGAAUUCUAUUUCAAUGAAACUGUUAAAAAAAAAAAAAAGCGGGGGGGGGGAACUGAAUAUAGACAGGGCCCAUCUCAAUUCCCAGUCCAGGUUUACAUUAUUGAAAGUGGCCCUUAGAUUUUAUUUCCAUAGUUUCAGGAAAGAAAAUAUACAUUAAAAGAGUUGGAAGACUCUAAUGUUGCAAGAAUUUGACUACAGAGCCAGAAAUUUCAGAAUGGUAAUAUAUGAUGUAUAUGUUCAUUAAAAAAAAUCCUAGAGAUUAUAUGAGUUUGCUUUCAGCUCAAUCAAUUCCUCUUGAAGUAGAGCCAUGUUGACAAGGCAGAUGCUUACAAAAUUCAAACACAUCUCUCUAGUCAGCUGCAGAAACUUAAAGCAUAAUUCAUGCUAAUGAAAACUAGUGAAUUUCUUCUGAAAUUCAGAUUUUAUUUCUACCAAAUAGCUCAGCCGUUCUUCAAAUUCUGUGAUUCCAUUUAGCACAGGACAGUUCUGAUAUGGGACAUGAAUGCACGCUCCAAGUAACAUCUACCCAACUCCCCAGGUACUGGUAUUAAUAUUAAUAACUAUAGUUCCUUCACAGACUCAUCUAUUUUCUUACUUUUUUCUCUACAGUCUCAAGUUCAGUGUAUUCAGAUAUCUUGCUUGCAACAUCAAACAGAAAAUAUAAUCAUGUUAGGUAUUUGAGUUCGGACAAAGAGGGAUCCCUUUAAUUACCAAAAGUUUUACACCUGAGAUAGCAUCAUUGUGGCUUUCUUCAACAAGCUUCCAUAAUCUUAUCACCUUAUUGCAUUAAAAUAAACUAAAUCCAUUGCAUUUACAAUAACAAUACUAAUAACAAAAUACUUAGAAUAAUUCUUACAAGAGC
rnacentral:lncRNA from 1 species